rnacentral:misc_RNA from 1 species
UAGUAUCUUGCUGCCUGCGCUUAACUGCGCGGCGGUACACCUUUACACACUUAUUUAUCAGUGAUAUUUGCUUUGUCGCUUUUGCGGCAGAGAUUACAAACUACUAAGUUUUACUACUUAUUUAACCUAGUCAUGAAAUUUACUAAAAUAAAAAUAUUCA